GACGGAGCAACGCGCGUGAGGGAUGAAGGCUUUCGGGUCGUAAACCUCUGUCGGAAGGGAAGAACGGGCAUUGGUCUAAUAGGCCUUUGUUUUGACGGUACCUUUAGAGGAAGCACCGGCUAACUCCGUGCCAGCAGCCGCGGUAAUACGGAGGGUGCAAGCGUUAUUCGGAAUUACUGGGCGAAAGCGCACGUAGGCGGCCCUUGUAAGUCAGGGGUGAAAUCCCACGGCUCAACCGUGGAACUGCCUUUGAAACUGCAGGGCUUGAAUCCUGGAGAGGGUGGCGGAAUUCCUGGUGUAGGAGUGAAAUCCGUAGAUAUCAGGAGGAACACCGGUGGCGAAGGCGGCCACCUGGAUCAGGUAUUGAUCGCUGAGGUGCGCAAAGGUGGGGAGCAAACAGGAUUAGAUACCCUGGUAGUCCACACCGUACAACGAUGGAUACUAGGUGUCGGGGACUUGUAUCUUCGCGUGCCGUACGUAACGCGUUAAGUAUCCCGCCUCGUAGU
rnacentral:rRNA from 1 species